rnacentral:rRNA from 1 species
UACGGGGGGGGCAAGCGUUGUUCGGAAUCACUGGGCGUAAAGGGCGCGUAGGCGGCCUGCUAAGUCGGGGGUGAAAUCCUGCGGCUCAACCGCAGGGCUGCCUUCUAAACUGUCAGGCUGGAGCACGGGAGAGGCAGAUGGAAUUCCCGGUGUAGCGGUGGAAUGCGUAGAGAUCGGGAAGAACACCAGUGGCGAAGGCGGUCUGCUGGGCCGUUGCUGACGCUGAGGCGCGAAAGCGUGGGGAGCAAACAGG